AUAAAAGGCGUGUCCCUGGUCACAAUGUUCAGAUUAAAUCGUUUCCGUUGAACAUGAAGUACAUAUUAUUCCUCGCUGUAUCAGCAGUUGCUGUCGCCUUGGUGUGGAGCGAAUCAUGACACUUACACAACUCUGCACUGCAUCAACCAAGGGUGCACGUGCACCUACACGCAUGCAUCAUGUAUUCAGGUGGAGGAAAAGAACAUUCAUCUAAUACUUACCACCGCUUUUUGUAAACUAUGAAGAAGAACCAUACAUUGUGAUUGAUUUGUGUUUCCCGAAACCACCGGGUUUUAAAGAAAUAUAACAGGAUUCGAGUAGGUUAAAUGUGGAAAAUGUCUGACAAAUAUGGCAUCAUGAUAUAUGCGAGUGGGAUAGCUACUGUUUGGUGAUCAAAUUUAAUUCUUAGUUUUGUUUCUACUAAGAUGGGUUUUUGUUUUGAUAAUAAGAGCUCACCUGGAAAGAUAUUCACAAUUUUAUACUAUCAGCAAAGACAGAAACUUAAAACAAGUUGCUGUCAGCAUCGACAUUCAAAUAUUUUGAAUUAUUUUCUGCAUUAAUAGCCAGGAAAUAAAAUCGUCAACGCAGGAGAAUAAUCACUCUCGAUUAUCCCACUAAACAGAUACCACUGGGUGUAAAAAGCAAACUAGUGGAAUAUU